AGAAGAAGAAGAAGAAGAAGACUGAAACAGUAUUUCUGCGGUGGCGCUUACACUGAACCUUUAUGACCGAUGAGACUGCAAAAGCUUAUUAAUUCGAAGAUCAAAUAUUUCAGAUUUCUGCUGACUGGAAAAAGAGAACGAUCAGCUAUGUCUCCGUGGAGCCAGUAACUCAUUAAUCGGUGACAAUAACCAGCUGGUUAGCCCAUACCGAGGGUCCUGUUUGUGUUCUGCGUGGGUCCUGCUUGCGUUUAGCGCGACACUGACCUGCCGCUUGCAGCCGGACUUCGGGCUUGAGCACGGCAUCGAGCAGCCUCCUCUGACGGCAGAUCUCCCGCUCCGAGCGCUCUACUCUGUCCUGGUACUCCGCCACGGUCUCCUCCAACAGAGCGACGAUCUCCUCCGCGGCCACCGUCAGCCGCUCGGUCAGCAGCGCUCUCAUCGUCGGGAGCUCGGCUGCUUCUUCUCCCUUCUCCAGCCGCAGCAACAAGUCUUCGGCGGCGGCGCUGAUCCGCUCGUGGACCGACACUCGCAGCAGCUGCACGGUGCACAUUCUGCGGCUUCUCCCUGCCGGGAGCCUCCGGGACAAAGAGAGCCAGCAGGAAUGUAAACACGCUGCGAGUUCCGAGUCGAGGAGCGCGGUGCGGAGAGAGCGAACAGCGCCCCUGCUGAAGCGGAGGCUGUCGGAGUCAGAGGAGAGUUCCGGAGUCUCCUUGCUACUUUCUGGUUGUGCGGGACAUUUUUAGCCAGAAGUUAACGGCAUGUGAGUCAGCAGCUGAAGCCGGAACAGAUCAGAAAGCCCUGAGAAAAAGGUUUCACAUUCAGUGAUAGCAUGGUUUACUCCAAAUCUCAGCAGGGUCAUUCUGGUGAUCCACUGACAGGUGCCCCUUCACCUGUCAGUGGAUCACCAGCUUCCUGACUGACAGGCAGCAGCUGCUGAGGCUGAGGAGCAUCACAAUGCCACACACAGACCAUCAGCACCAGCCUGCCCCAGGGGUGUGUUCUCUCCCCACUGCACUUCUUCCUCUACUCUGAUGACUGCACCUCAGGAGAACCAUCUGUGAAACUCCUGAUACAGAACAAUGACAAGUACACAUGCAGACAGGAGGUGAUGCAGUCAGAACCUGGAGCUGAAGCCUGUGAAGAUGACAGUAGACCUUUUGGAGAGAGUCUAUAAACUACAAACUAUUUUUAGUUUUCUUUGCUCUUUUUUUUCUAUUUUCUGUGUCCUCCUGCAAGUCUUUUGGUCUUUUUUUCAAUCAGCCAUUUCCUCCUCUCGUCAGACUCCAGCUCUGUCUCUGUGGGGCUGCCUUCUUCCUACAGCCUUGUGAAGAACAGGUUCAAAGUAUUUGAACUUCGGACUGAUGUACUGCAGUUGAAUGGCCUGCAUUUGUAUAGCGCUUUUCUAGUCCAUAGGACCCCAAAGCGCUUUACACUACAUUCAGUCAUUCACACAUUCACACACUGGCGAUAGCAAGCUACAUUGUAGCCACAGCUGCCCUGGGGCGCACUGCAGAUGCAGCAGCAGACUGAACCUCGACUGAAACCUGCUCCAUCAUCUCAUCUUUGCAGAUGUCCAUUUAUAAAGCAUCAACAACUCAAAGGAGCCGUCCUCAGAUUCAGACCUCAGCACCACCCAGUGACAGCAGACAGAUCAUCCUAUAUCUUCAAUCUUUGUAGUAACUCCAAAAUUAACUGAAGAAAACAGUACAAAGGUUAAAGUACCACAUGUGCUGUCAGUGAAAGCUGCAGCUGUUUUAUUGAUAAAUUUAAAGACAAAAAGUCAAAAGGAUUAAUCACCCCUGUAACUGUGUCACUAUACAUCAGCAUUAACAGGACCUCAGUUUGGUGUUUCAGAAAACUGCUGAUCUCAGACCUGCACAACUUCUGUUUUAAACACUGAAUGUACUCAGCUACAUGAAGAGCACGUGAUGUUUUCUCUGACACAAUUAAAUAAAACCUGAUUAAAAGUCAAAGGUUGUUACUUGUAUUUGAACUAAAAACUUGUGAUCUGGAAUUCUUUCACUGUUUUUUGACAAUAGUGUGUUAUUUAUCAUAAAGUAAUUCAGAGUCAUUCAUACCAGAGUAACCAGUGAGCACAACAUAUAUUUAACUUUCUACAGGACUUAAAGCUAUUACUAUAGCUUAUAGCUAUAGCUAUUAACUGCACUACUGUAUAGUUCUGUGUAAAUAAUCAUUCUGUACAUAUGAUGAUUUUUAAUCCUACAACUGUUUAUAACCUGCAUAGUUCACAUUUCUGUAGUUUUUCAUAUUUAUAUCCUGUUCAUAUCCUGUACAUAGUUUGUACUCACUACAGCCUGUACAUACUUAUAGUUAUAGAAUAUUCACAACAUACUUCAUACCGUGUACAUUAUAACAUACCAUAAUAGACCCAUUUCUGUAAUAUACUUACAUAUCUAUAUUAUUGCUAAUAUAUAUUGUAAUAUAUCUAUAUCAUGGCUAAAGCACUUCUGGAUGGAUGCAAACUGCAUUUCGUUGCCCUGUACCUGUGCAUGUGCAAUGACAACAAAGUUGAAUUCUAUUCUAUUAAAAGUCCAGACCCUCUGAGGAUUAUCUGAGUACUUCUAACAUUACACAAAGCAAAGGUCUCCAUCAGUGUUCAUGAAAUGCUGGGUUUAUCCUUCUUGUGAGGGAGCUGCUGGUGAAGAUCACGAGCCCUGCUUGAUCCCGGCGAUGAGUUUCAGUCUUCCUGGUGUUUCUGAAAUGAUUCCUCUCACUGUGGGUCAACAGAACUUCUGGCACAGGACAGCUGUAAUGAAAGAAAUUGAAGU
ensembl:lncRNA